rnacentral:pre_miRNA from 1 species
AAAAAAAACAAACUCUGCUUUUCGUGCCCAACGUUUGACCGUCCAUCUUAUUUGAAAAAAAUAUUAAAAAAAAUAAAAAGACAAGUCACGCAUAAAAUAUUAAUCAUAUUUUAUCAUCUAACAACAACGAAAAUACGAAUUAUAAAAAAAUUUCAUAUGAGACGGACAGUCAAAGUUGGACACGGAAACACAGGGUUUGUCUUUUU